AACGAACGCUGGCGGCAGGCUUAACACAUGCAAGUCGAGCGAGACCUUCGGGUCUAGCGGCGGACGGGGGUGUAACGCGUGGGAACGUGACCUUCUCUACGGCAUAGCUCCGGGAAACUGGGAGUAAUACCGUAUACGCCCUCAGGGGGAAAGAUAUAUCGGAGAAGGAUCGGCCCGCGUGGGAGAAGGUAGUUGGUGGGGUAAUAGCCCACCAAGCCCACCAUCCGUAGCUGGGUUGAGAGGAAGAUCAACCACACUGAGGCUGAGACACGGCCCAGACUCCUACGCGAGGCGGGAGUGGGGAAUCUUGGAAAAUGGGGGCAACCCUGAUCUGGCCAUGCCGCGAGAGUGAUGAAGGCCUGAGGGAAGUAAAGUUCUUUCAGCUGGGAAGAUAAUGACGGUACCAACAGAAGAAGCCCCGGCUAACUCCGUG
rnacentral:rRNA from 1 species